UGGGAAGAUUCCCUGGAGGGGGACAUGGCAACACACUCCAGUAUUCUUGCCUGGAGAACCCCAUGGACAGCGGAGCCUGAUGGACUACAGUCCAUGGAAUCGCAAACAGUCAGACACGACUAAAGUAACUCAGCACUUAUGGAUGCUCAUAGAGAGGUAUACACACUUAAAGCAAAUUUGUGUAGUUUAAAGGUAAGAGGUAUUCACUGUACAAUUUUUUUUAACUACUUUUCCAUGGGUUUCAGUUCAAUCACUUCAGUCGCUCAGUCGUGUCCGACUCUGCAACUCCAUGAAUCGCAGCACGCCAGACCUCCCUGUCCAUCACCAACUCCCGAAGUUCACUCAAACUCACGUCCAUCGAGUCGGUGAUGCCAUCCAGCCAUCUCAUCCUCUGGCGUCCCCUUUUCCUCCUGCCCCCAAUCCCUCCCAGCAUCAGAGUCUUUUCCAAUGAGUCAACUCUUCGCAUGUUGAAAUGUGCCAAAUAGAAAGUUCAAAAAUUACCUAAGAGAAACUGAUAUAUCUUGGCGAAUAAACAGCUCAGAGCGCUAGAGAUGGAACCAAUCAAUUCAAUUACAAAUCCAUUCUUCCUUAUUGAGGAGAGAACUGUUUCAUCAGAGACUGAAUUAUAAAUGUCACAUUAACAGAAGCAUGCAGAUGUCAAUGAAUUGGAGCCCGGGAGGAAAUACUUCUUUUAUCUAUUUUUAUAUUAUAUCCAGUAGAUACUGGUUAUAUAUUUGCUUACUGACCACCUGAUCCUUCCAAUCUCCACUUCCAUUUUCCUGCUUCCACCAAAUUUUACCUUAGAAAAUACAUUUCAGAGAAUGUAUUUUUAUAAUAAUCAUGACCUCCAAACUAUUAAAAGUACGCAUUAUUUCUAGCCUAGUAUUGUAUUUGAGGACUGAGUUUUUAAUAAUCCUGCACCACUAAAAAGGUCUUUCGUUCCCUCUCAGAACUCCUAGAUGAGCUUCAUAAAAGAUAAAGAUAAAAUCUUCUCAGCAUAGAAGUAAAGGUGAUUAUCAUGCAAAUAUAAACAUGCUCCAUCCAUGCAUCAUACCCAAUUCUGUAUCAAUCUCUGCCAUUAAGAUGCCUGAUAGAAUGCUGAGUUCAAAUUUUGAUAUAUUGGGAAAUCCGAAUCAGCCUCCAAUAUUAAAUAUUUUCUUAAUUUGAAGCCCAGUUUUUUCAUUUUUAAAAAGCUAUACAAGAGUACAGUGGAAAUUCCACUUAACUUGAUCUCAGAAAACUUAAAAUUCUAUCACUUACUAGCUAAGUAUCCUUAAGCAAGUUACAACCUCUCAGAGACCAUUGUUAUUAAUAAAAUGAAACUAUGACCACCUUUCUUACAGUAUAAAUCUCUGCAAAUUCUAAACAACUAGAAAAUAAGGUAUUACUUAAUUAGAAAUUUUUCUCUAAACUUCUUUCCCCUUGUUUUAACGCAGGAAAACUGAUGAGAAUUCCAAAUGUGCCAAGUCUAUGGCCUCUCUUAUUUUCUCUGACCUAUAGUGUUCACCAAUCAAAAACUUUAGCAGUAGUGAUGCUCACUAUUCUUCAACUUUUUAUAAAAAUGUCAUGUAUUUUUGUUUAUUAAAAUAAACUUCUGGAUCUCCUGCUUUUCUUCUAGUUGAACUACACCAAGAAUUUAAUGUGUCGGUUCCCUCAGAGACUCACUGUCACUAGGGAGAUAAGAGACAAUCUCCGAAACCUUUUCCCAGGUGACUGCUCUAGUGACGGGACGUCAGUUUCAAAGUUCACGGGUCAUCAAUGCUUCCCUGGGUCAAGUCUUCUGAUUUGGCAGAAAUCCUAUCAGAGUUAAUGGGUUUGAAUUUAUAAGCUUUUUCUUCCCCCCAAAUAAAGGAGAGCCUUUUAGCUUUA